UACUACUCUCCCGUUUCCAAGUCUCCCUAACUCGAGAUUUUCUUCUCCAUUCACGCUUCUCCCAUUCCAACGACUGCCACCUCAACUGUGUCUAAUCAAUUUUCUUCCCCUCCACUCCCUUGCCUCCCAGACCUUUCUUUUUAUCAAUGUUUUCUCAUUUCCCGUGAUAUACUGUUCUCUCCCCUCAUCUCCAUAUCCGGAUUCUUUCUCUUCAGGAGAAUGAAGAAUUUGAAAGAAAAAUUCUUUCCCACCCAUCAUCUCUCUCUUCCCCUCCAUAUGAAAUCGUCCCCCCUCCUCCAAAGGAACCCGCCGCGGUGGAAUUACUAGGCUCAGAUCUAUCUACGCAUCCCCAAGAUCUGUUUUCUUGAUGCGGUUCCAUCUCUGGUGAGGAAAGCAAGGUCGAUGACUCAAUUGGAGAGGUACCGGAAAUCUUUCCUCGGCGGAAACCAUCCCCGACAGAAAUCUCACCGGUGGCCACACACACACGCGCCGAUGGCUCUUCCACCCGGGAAGCUCACCAUUCUCCUCGGUGCAGAUCGAACAAGGAACUGCUUCGGAGUGAACUUCGUGGACAGCAAACUGAAUGGAAAGGAAAAACUCAAUAAUGAGUGUGAGAUUGAUUGAUUACUUUAAAGAGGUCCAUUUUUUAGACUGGGCAUUCAAGGGUGAGUUUGAGUGAUUUGGUUACCGGGGUAUAUGGAGUGGACUCUAUCAUAGAGCAAUAGAGAGCAACUGCGAUAGAGAUCUCGGGGGUGAAAGGGUGAUACUAAAGAGGGCAUGACUAAGGGGAGACAUAUGCAAUAGCAAGUGUAGUUAAGCAUAUAAAAGGAGACAUACAAUUUCAGGUAAGAAUAUAUCAAGAACUUUAGACGCUAUAGUUGCAAAAGAAGGGGCUCAUCAUACAGUUCUAUGGAACUCAACUAAGGAAGAUCCAAAGUGGCUCAAAGAUGUAAGGAUAAAAGAGCUCCAAAUCAGAGCAAGUUGAAUCUCACAGUACUAUCAAGAUUUACAUUCCUAUAAUAAUUAAGGAGAUGCUCUUCUCAUUAUUAUGUGACUUUUAUAAUUAAAAAGUGACACCGGUGAUUAUGAGGUAAGAUUCAAGUAUGCUUUAUCAUGUUAUCAUUUAAUGUAAGGGGGAACCUAGAUUGAUUUGCAUUGCAAUAUUUUUUAAAAAAGUUUUCUGCGAUCGGUUGUUGAUGGAAUUGGUUCACAUAGAAUUGUGUAAUGAAUGAUUCUACUUUUUUUUUCUGAUUUUUUCUUUGUAAUAAUCACGCAACGCAACACAGAUGCCAUCAGAGUUCUUUCUUGGCGAGUGGCUAUGAAUUGAAUUAAUGAACUCACAUCCUUUGUACUAUUCCAUUGCAACCCUGCUUAAUAGUUUAUGACUCCUUUUUUGUGGGCAUGCAGUAAAAUGGUGUUUAUGUUAUUUUAUGCAAUGAGGGUUUUGUCCAACUGUGGGGGUUUGUUUUUUGCGAGAAGUUUUAUGUUUUCAUUGUACUGAGGGAUUUUUUUUUUGUUUUCUUUGCUGUUUUUGAUGAUUGAAGCAGCUUACUAAGGUGUCCGAACAAGAUGUAAAUUCAGGGUAUUCCAUGCAGAUUUAGUAUGCAAAACUUUUUGUUAUUGCUUCUGUUCUUUGAUUCUAUUUUUCAUUUUCCAAAUUCAAAUUUAACUCUUUCUUUAAUUGAUUUUAGUGGGUUGGAUUUAGCUAAUCUGAUUUUUGUUAGGUUGAUUUAAAACUACUCAAACUGCUGCAAUGUUUGGGCUAUUAUUCUGUCUGAUUAUUGAUAUGUGUUUUGGGAUCAAUUUUGAUUGGUAUAUUCGAGACAAUCAAUUGAUAUAAUUAAUUAUUGAUAUGUUUUUCUAGAGCUUAUUUUUCAAUAUAACUAAGUCUUUUCAGUCUUUUUACUAAGCUAUUUCUGUAGGUUUUUGUAUACAGGUUGUCUGCAAUACAGUUGCAGGUGUAGGUAUUUGAGUUUAGGUUGCUCCGCUGCAUUUUUUUUAUUUAUAGCAAGAAGGUUAUAUUUUCAAGCCCCACUAAAAGAACUUUUACAAUUCUUCCGUAUAUUUUUCUCUGUUUAGGCUAUCCCUCACAACAAUUUAUCGUCUUCUAUUUUGGAUAUGCAGGUUGAUCUCCAUUAUAAAAAAAACAUGUACUCAGAGGAGCGAAAAGAAGUGAAUUUUUCAGUCAUUAAACUGAUAAAAGAGCAAGAAGGGAGGAAUUGAAUGAUUAUCAGAAAUAGAUUGGGGUGCAAUUUCAAAGGAUUUGGAGAGAUAGCAAGUUCAUAAAAAGAAUUGAAUAUUCAGAGGCUUCUGCAUUAGAAGUUCACCAUAAUAAAGUUAAAAUAUGGAAAUGAUCAUUGUACGAAUCUGAUUGCAAAUAUAAGGAAAGUUGUGAUGUUUUAUGGUUACUUAUAUGGUAAUUUGGUAUUUGAAGUA